rnacentral:rRNA from 1 species
CGUAGGUGGCGAGCGUUGUCCGGAAUGACUGGGCGUAAAGGGCGUGUAGGCGGUCCUGUAAGUCUGGGGUGAAACGGCGGCUCAACCGCCGGCCUGCCCUGGAAACUGCGGGGCUAGAGUGGGCUAGAGGGCAGCGGAAUUCCCGGUGUAGCGGUGAAAUGCGUAGAGAUCGGGAGGAACACCAGGUGGCGAAGGCGGCUGCCUGGGGCCUAACUGACGCUGAGGCGCGAAAGCUGGGGGAGCAAACAGGGAUU